CUUUAAUAGUAUUCAGAAUUUAUUUGUGAGAUUGAAUUCUCUUUGUUCUCUUUGAACACCUAAAACACCAUUAGUGAAUGAGUGUUUUAGUUUGACUUACCAAUAGGAUAUCCAUCACCUAUCGUGGCGUCUUCAUUAUACCAAAGUUUCUAAUCACAGGUUGGUUAGGGGUCAAGGUGACCAUUAGAACUUGAACAUAAUUAGAUUUGAGCUAAUAUAGUACGAGUUUCGGUGCAAGUCGUCCUACGUUCGUAUCAGAUGAAUCAAGGCCUAAGAUCAGGCCGAAAGGCGUAGUCGAUGGGCAACAGGUGAACACUCUGUACUACCCCUGGAGGCUAGGUUAGCCAAAAUAUGGUUAUCGGUUCAAGGAUGUAAGGUGCCUUUACUUUUCCAGGGUAAGAAGGGGUAGAGAAAAUGCCCUGAGCCAAUGUUCAGGUACCAAGCGCUACGGCGCUAAAGUAACCUAUGCCGUACUCCUAGGAAAAGCUCAAACAACCUUACAAAAUAGUACCUAUACCAAAAAUCAACACAGGUGGGUAGGUGGAGAAUACCUAGGGGUGUGUGAUGUGAUUCCGCCCGAGCCCGCUCAAUCGAUAACCCGCUGGGGUGCCGAUCCGUUACGGAUGAAGGUGGGACCAACCACUAAAGCACAAGCCAAGAAGUUCAAGGAUAACCUUGCUGUGCUUACUCAAAGGAUAAAUUAUAAUCAAGAAGGAUUGAUCAUGACCAAAUAACCAAGACCUGUUUUGCUGAUACAAGCACUGGAGACUGGUACGGACCCGAAUGACGGUUUUGGUACAUUUUUGGAGUCUGGGAAGCAUGAAAUGGUUCCAUUGAUUUAUGGGUUCAAUACAUAUGCCUAAUAGGUCAUGGAAUCAAGUUAAAGCAGCCUCAAAUGCAAUCAAAAAGGGCUUGUACGGACAGCAUCAACAAUUUGGCCGAAUUUGCUGUAUUGCUUGCUGGCUUUACUGUAUUUUACUGUAUUAGCCUUUUCUUAUUUUUCCAAGCAUGGGCAACGUGUGGGACUUCAUAUUCAGCUUAUUUGGCAUCCUAAAAAGCAUCUAGAAGCUGAUUUGAAGCUCAAAGAGGUCAAAGAUUGAUCAAAGUCAACUUGAUCAAAAGGCUAGCAUUUUUAGUUUCCUAAUUUGUUUUUACUUUUUGUUUUAGGAAACUACCAUUACUUUUUGGCUUUUAUUUAUUUAUUUUCUGGACAAAUAACUUUAGGAAGGUUUUUAUUUUAUUCUUUCCAUUGUAAAUUAAUUAAUUCCUAAUUUAAUAUAAAGGAAUUAAUUAAUCAAACUUAGAUUAGGAAAGGAAGUAUAGUUUCGGCCAACUAGGUUUCUUUAUGUGUAGUGGCCGGUUUUCUUUAUGUUCUAGGGUUUUAUUUCGUGGCUUUGUAUCCUAUUUAAAGGCUUAUUUUUCAAUAAGAAUACAACUUUGAUUUGAUUGAGAAAAUACUUGUGAGAUUAAUUAUCUCUUUGUUCUUUGAGAACACCUAAAACACCAUUAGAGAAUCGGUUGUUUUAGCUUGACUUAUCAAUAGGUUUUCCAUCCCCUAUUGUGGCGCCUACAUUAUACCAAGGUUUCUAACCACAGGUUGGUUAGGGGUUGAGGUCAAUUCCACUAGAACUUGAUCUUAAUUAAGAUCUGGGCCAAUAUAAUACGGGUUUAGGAGCAGGUCGUCCUAGGUUCGUAUCAGUGUGAGACAACUGUCUCUAAGGAACUCAGCAAACUAGCCCCAUAAAUUAAAGAGAAAGGGUGUCUCCUCACAAAAGGGGUUGCAGUGAUCAAGCCGGGGUGACUGUUUACCAAAAACACAGGUCUCCGCAAAGUCAUAAGACUAUGUCUAGGGGCUAACACCUACCCAAUACUAUGAGGUCAAGGAAUUUGUUGACCUGAUGACAUGGAAGCCCGUGACUGAAGCCCCGGUGAACGGUGGCCGUAACUAUAACGGUCCUAAGGUAGCGAAAUUCCUUGUUGGAUAAGUUUAGACCCGUACGAAAGGCAUAAUGAUCUAGACAUGUCUAUGAAGAUGCCAACUAUCUGCACUUGGACAUAAAGACCCUAUGAAGCUUUACUGUUCCCUGGGAUUGGCUUUAGGCCUUUCCUGCGCAGCCUAGGUGGAGGGCAAAGAACGCCUCCUUCUAAGGGGCCCGAGCCAUCAAUGAGAUACCAAUCUGGAAGACCUAGAAUUCUAACCUUGUGUCAGGACCUAUGAGCCAAGGGAUAGUCUUAGGUAGAUAGUUUCUAUAGGGCAUAGUCCACCCAAAAGGAAAUGGAGGCAUGUAAAAGUUUCCUCAAGCUAGACAGAGAUUGGCCCUUGAGUGUAAAGUCGAACAGGGAUGAAAGUCGGCCUUAGUGAUCCAACGAUGCCGAGUGGAAAGGCCAUCGCUCAAUGGAUAAAAGUUAUUCUAGGGAUAACAGGUUGAUCUUCCCGAAGAGCUCACAUCGAUGGGAAGGUUUAGCACCUCAAUGUUGGCUUUUCGCCACCGAAGGUUGUAGUAUGUUCCAAAGGUUGUGUUGUUCGCUCAUUAAAGCAAUACAUGAGCUAGGUUCAGAACGUUGUGAGACAGUUCGGUCCAUAUCCGAUGUGGGCAUUAGAACAUUGAGAGGACAUUUCCCUAGUACAAGAGGAUCAGGAAGGAUGCAUGUCUGGUGUACCAGUUAUUGUGCCCACAGUAAACGCUAGGUAGCCAAGUGUGGAGCGGAUAACUGCUGAAAGCAUCUAAUUAGUAAGCUGAGCUCAAUAUUUGCGCUCUCCUACUCUAACUUCCCUAGAGCUUUUAAUAGCAUAGCCAAGACAACAAUGGGUUUUCUACCCCUGCAAGGGUGAAGCGAUUGAAGUUUUGAGAAUUCCAGAGAAUGUCACGAUGAGAGGAGCUGUUUGUCAUUACAAUAGGUCUCAAGUGGAAGUGCAGUGAUAUAUGCAGUUGAGGCAUCCUAACAGACCGGUAGACUUGAAC
rnacentral:rRNA from 1 species